UGCUGGUUGCCACAUGCUCCUUGUACUGAGCCCCCUGUCUUCCUCUCUGCCUCGGGUGAACUGGUGUCUGGUUUGAUAAGUGUCUGUUGUCCCGUUGGUCCUUUGCUUGAGGCAUCUUUGUGAGGUGGUUGCCGGCUGCUGGUCGAGGCUAGGCACUCUAGCUGGUUCCCUGUACUCAUUUGUAAUGGUAAGCGCACCGGGACACAAUAGUUUGCACCUGUUUGACGUGUUUGCUGUGAGUUCACGAGUGGUGGGUAAACUGCACUCCUGGAACACACCCUUUUUGUUAGGCUGCCUCCCCUCUGCUAUCACCUCACUUCCCCCUCCUAUUUUUCUAUUUUUAAAUCACCUUAGAUUGGAAGUGUCUUUUUUAAGAUAAGAUAAACAUUAUAUUGUUAUAAACUUUAAUACAUCUACUUAAACUGACUAAUUUGCCUCCUUAACACAAUAACUGACCCCCUUCUCUUCACAGAUACUCCCAUUUUUAAUUAUCAAUACAUUUACGUCUUCUUUUGAA